AGUCGUAACAAGGUUUCCGUAGGUGAACCUGCGGAAGGAUCAUUACCGAGUUAGGGUUCGUCCAACGAGCCCGACCUCCCAACCCUUUGUUUAUUUUACCUUGUCGUUGCUUCGGCGGACCGGUCGCGACCAACUGGUCGUGGCCGCCGGGGGUCCACCUCCUGGAGAGCGUCCGCCGAUGGCCCAACCACAAAUUCUUGUAUCAAACCAUGUCGUCUGAAUUACUUGAUUAAAAUCAAAAAACAAAACUUUCAACAACGGAUCUCUUGGUUCUGGCAUCGAUGAAGAACGCAGCGAAAUGCGAUAAGUAAUGCGAAUUGCAGAAUUUCCGUGAGUCAUCGAAUCUUUGAACGCACAUUGCGCCCACUGGUAUUCCGGUGGGCAUGCCUGUUCGAGCGUCAUUAUCCUCCCUCAAACCUCGGGUUUGGUGUUGGACCCAAGUUGUGUGAACAACUGGUCACAAAGACAAUGACGGCGUCCGUGGGACCCUCGGUGCAACGAGCUUUUAAACGAGCACGCGUCGAGUUUCAAGGACCUUCCGGGCCGGUCUCCUUCUUUUAUUUACAAAGGUUGACCUCGGAUCAGGUAGGAAUACCCGCUGAACUUAAGCAUAUCAAUAAGCGGAGGAAAAGAAACCAACAGGGAUUGCCUCAGUAACGGCGAGUGAAGCGGCAACAGCUCAAAUUUGAAAUCUGGCCUUACGGUCCGAGUUGUAAUUUGUAGAGGAUGUUUUGGGUACCGCCGCGGUUUAAAUUUCUUGGAACAGAAUGUCAAAGAGGGUGAGAGUCCCGUCUUGGAUCGCGGUAGGGCCUGUGUAAAACUCCUUCGACGAGUCGACUUGUUUGGGAAUGCAGGUCAAAAUGGGUGGUAAAUUUCAUCUAAAGCUAAAUAUUGGCCAGAGACCGAUAGCGCACAAGUAGAGUGAUCGAAAGAUGAAAAGCACUUUGAAAAGAGAGUUAAACAGUAUGUGAAAUUGUUGAAAGGGAAGCGCUGGCAACCAGACUCGUGCGCGGGGUUCCCCCUUGCUUCUGCUUGGGUCACUUCCCCGUGUCCGGGCCAUCAUCAGUUUCGGGGGCCGGUUAAAGGCUCUGGGAAUGUAUCUACUCCUUCGGGGGUAGACUUAUAGCCCAGGGUGUCAUGCGGCCACUCGGGACUGAGGAACGCGCUUCGGCGAGGAUGAUGGCGUAAUGGUUGUCAGCGACC
rnacentral:rRNA from 1 species